GCGGACGCUGCUGAUUUGCUGGAAGCGCACAUCGAGCAGCAGGAAGGCGGCGCAGGCGAGGAAGGCUCCGAGGCCCAGCGCGACGCCGAAGCGGCAGGCGCCCGCGUUCCCGUUGAACACGCAGCGCAGCUCGGGGCCGCUGUCGGUGUUCACGUAGCCCUCGUUGACGAUGGGCCCGAAGACGGCGAUGGAGAACACCUGCGUGCGGCGCGGCGCUCAGGGCCCUGCGGCGACCCGACCUCUGCGAGCCCGCCUCGAGCGCCCACGCCCCUGGGCCUGUCCCUGCGUUCCCAGGCCCGUAUCUGGGUGGGGGGCGGUGUCACCUCUUUCUUUCCCGAACCCUCGCGUAUUUAGUAAUUAUUGACAACACGGGCCGUUUAGUGAGCAUCUACUAUGCCCAGACAUUGUGUUAAACAGCCACUUUACAUGCGUCCCCUCACCAAAUCCUCAGAAAGUCCCCGUGGGAUCGCCAUUGUUCUUAUUCUCUUUAUAAAUGCGGGGGACAUUGGGACCCCAACAGGUGAAGUGACUUGUCCGGGAUCACAUGGCUGACAAAAGCCGGGGUUGAUUCAAGCCAGGUACUCUGCACCGCGUGGGCCCGUGGAGUCCCCUCAGAGCCCACUCAAGAGUGUGGGAACAGGAGCCUUCACCUGGGCCCGCGAUUCCCAGGCUGGAGCCGGAACGGCGAAGGGGAGGUGAGAGUGCAGCAGGCAGAGCGGGGCGGGAGGGAGGGUAUGGAGGCAGCGGAGCUGUUGCUUCCUGCGCGGUUGGGAACUGUCUGGCCUGUUUUCUAGCAUGCAAAUAGGGUGACGGGCACAGCUCAUGCAGUGCUGGGACAGACAUGUCCACCCAGCUUCCUGCACGUGGUGGGUACCCGAGGGAUGACAGCCCCCACGUGACUGAUUAUUAAUAUCACCUGUAAGUGUUUGGGCUGAAAAGAUGACACCGUUGACCUCUGAGGUUCCGUCAAACCUCAAUGCCUCCUGCCCACCAGUUCCGGGAGACAGGCAUGAGGGGGACCGCAGUCAUUUUAACCAGCGCUGCACGGGGCAGCCCUGUGUUUCCAAGAAACGACCUCCAGCCUCAACCUCAUCCCUUCGCUCCUUUCCCGCUCCAGCUCCGAGAGUGGAGCCAAGGGGGAAGCCGGGACAUGCACUUGUCCCCAAGAGUGGGCCACAAGUCGGGACGUGCGCUCGGACCAAAACGCAGCGUCCUGCCUCCCGGUCUGGUCAGAGCCACUCCGCAGGGGAGGCCAAAGCCCCUGCCCCACCGUGGGCACCGCCCUCCUCCAAGACAGGCGCCGAGGUGCGGCUGGCCCAGAGGUUGCCACCUGGACAAAACCCAGAGCUCGGCACCCAACUGCCACCUCCCCUGCCGGAGGGAAGGAGCAGCAGGGCCCUCCCAGGGACGCCCCAGUGGGCUAGGCUGCUCCCAAACCUGCCUUCCACACCGCCGCCAGGAAGCCCUCCCAGCCCAGAGCCUCUCCUCCCUCAACUCACAGCUGGAACUGGGGGCCAGGGGACAGGCUCCCUGCCAAGGAGACCCGAGGGUGUGUGUGCGGGGGAAGGGGAGGCGCUUCUCGGUUCCCGUAGCCCCCUCCUGCCCCUCGGAGAAUUCCGUCCCCACCCCGUCCCUGCUUCCAGGUCACGAGAACAGGAAAAACGGAGUAAGGGCUGCGGAAAGGGACUGAAAUUAGACCCGG
rnacentral:lncRNA from 1 species